UACAGAGGUGGCAAGCGUUGUUCGGAAUUACUGGGCGUAAAGGGCGCGUAGGCGGUUCGAUAAGUCCCGUGUGAAAUCCCUCGGCUCAACUGAGGAAUGGCACGGGAAACUGACGGGCUUGAGUUCGGGAGAGGGAAGCGGAAUUCCGGGUGUAGCGGUGAAAUGCGUAGAGAUGCGGAGGAAUACCAGUGGCGAAGGCGGCCUUCUGGGACUCAACUGACGCUGAAGCGCGAAAGCAUGGGGAGCGAACGGG
rnacentral:rRNA from 1 species